UACGUAGGGUGCAAGCGUUGUCCGGAAUUAUUGGGCGUAAAGAGCUCGUAGGCGGUUUGUUGCGUCGGCUGUGAAAUCCCGAGGCUCAACCUCGGGUCUGCAGUCGAUACGAGCAAACUAGAGUGUUGCAGGGGAGACUGGAAUUCCUGGUGUAGCGGUGAAAUGCGCAGAUAUCGGGAGGAACACCAGUGGCGAAGGCGGUCGUCUGGGCAGAUACUGACGCUGAGGUGCGAAAGCGUGGGGAGCAAACAGG
rnacentral:rRNA from 1 species